rnacentral:miRNA from 1 species
GAGGAGGAGGAGGAGGAGCAUGUGUCUGUCAUGCUCCCCGCAAAGGAGCAUGACAGACACAUGCUCCUCCUCCUCCUUC